AAGUCGUAACAAGGUUUCCGUAGGUGAACCUGCGGAAGGAUCAUUACCGAGUUAGGGUCUCUCAGGCCCGACCUCCAACCCUGUGUUUAUUCUACCCUGUUGCUUUGGCGGGCCCGCCUUUAGGGGGCCGUCGGGGGUUAUCUAACCCCUGAUCAGUGCCCGCCAGUAGCCUUCAAAAACUCUUGUAUAACUGUGUCGUCUGAGUCUUAAUUAAAAUCGUUAAAACUUUCAACAACGGAUCUCUUGGUUCUG
rnacentral:misc_RNA from 1 species